rnacentral:lncRNA from 1 species
GGCUGCCUGACCGCGAGCGAAGGCAUGUCAGUAAGCGCGAGCGAGUCGAGCGAGCCCGGUCGGCGAUUCGACCGAGAGUUGAAGACCGGUGCCAGCGAGCGAGCGAGAGCGAGCCAUGCCAACGCGCGAGUUGAAGUCCGGUCACUGACCGCGAGCGAGCCCUGGCGGCGAUCGACCGAGAAAGAGGGAUUGGAAGAGAGCGAGCAUGUGAGAGCGAGAAAUGGGGAGCGAGCGAGGUCACCCCAGAUCAGCU